rnacentral:rRNA from 1 species
CCCUUAGAUGUUCUGGGCCGCACGCGCGCUACACUGAUCAGUGCAACAAGCAUCCGUCCUUGGCCGACAGGCCCGGGCAAUCUUUGAACGCUGAUCGUGAUGGGGAUAGACUUUUGCAAUUUUUGGUCUUCAACGAGGAAUUCCUAGUAAACGCAAGUCAUCAACUUGCAUUGAUUACGUCCCUGCCCUUUGUACACACCGCCCGUCGCACCUACCGAUUGAAUGGUCCGGUGAAGCCUCCGGAUUGGCGUGCACCCUCGGGUGCUGCCGAGAAGUUGGCUAAACCUUACCAUUUAGAGGAAGGUGAAGUCGUAACA